rnacentral:rRNA from 1 species
UACGGAGGGGGGCAAGCGUUGUUCGGAAUUAUUGGGCGUAAAGGGCGCGUAGGCGGCCGGCCAAGUCGGGGUGUGAAAUCCCUCGGCUCAACCGAGGAAUUGCAUCCGAUACUGGCUGGCUGGAGUCCGGGAGGGGAUGGUGGAAUUCCCAGUGUAGCGGUGAAAUGCGUAGAUAUUGGGAAGAACACCGGUGGCGAAGGCGACCAUCUGGACCGGAACUGACGCUGAGGCGCGAAAGCGUGGGGAGCAAACAGG